rnacentral:rRNA from 1 species
UACGGGGGAGCAAGCGUUGUUCGGAUUUACUGGGCGUAAAGGGCGCGUAGGCGGUCAGCACAAGUCAGUUGUGAAAUCUCCGGGCUUAACUCGGAAAGGUCAACUGAUACUGUGCGACUAGAGUGCAGAAGGGGCAACUGGAAUUCUCGGUGUAGCGGUGAAAUGCGUAGAGUAUCGAGAGGAACACCUGCGGCGAAGGCGGAUCUCUGGACAGUUCCGUGACACUGAGGCACGAAGGCCAGGGGAGCAAACGGG